rnacentral:sRNA from 1 species
AUGGACCACGCGUCCACGGCGGUUCUGAGCGCGCCGUCCGCGCCCACCUGACAGCUGCUCGCGACGUUUUGUCAGCC